AUUGAACGCUGGCGGCAUGCCUUACACAUGCAAGUCGAACGGUAACAGGCCUUCGGGUGCUGACGAGCGGCGGCCGGGUGAGUAAUACAUCGGAACGUGCCCAGUGGUUGUGGGUAACGGAUCGAAAGCGGUGCUAAUACCGCAUACGAUCUGAUGUUGAGAGCGGGGGACCACACUGCUAUGUGAGGGCUUUGGCGUCUCUUGUAGACGAUGUCGGAUUAGGUAGUUGGUGGGGUAAAGGCCUACCAAGCCAACGAUACGUAGCUGGUCUGAGAGGACGACCGGCCACACUGGGACUGAGACACGGCCCAGACUCCUACGGGAGGCAGCAGUGGGGAAUUUUGCGCAAUGGGCGAAAGCCUGAUCCAGCAACGCCGCGUGCGGGAUGAAGGCCUUCGGGUUGUAAACCGCUUUUGUACGGAACGAAAAGAUGUGGACUAAUAUCUGGGGGUCAUGACGGUACCGUAAGAAUAAGCCCCGGCUAACUACGUG
rnacentral:rRNA from 1 species